GCCCCUGCGAAGUUGGUGGUGAUUGUGGUGGUGGAGCUAAUGACAUGUGUGCAGAAACUCUUCUGAAUGGGACUUCCCUGAUCCUGUUUUUACCUGAUCUUCAUGCUCAAUAGAAAAAGCCUCAGCUUUGGAAUCAGCUUCCCAGUGAACACCGAGAGUUGAGUUUAGCAACUGUUUGGACUGGCCAUGUAACAGGGCCGUCCAGGUAGCAUGGCAUGGUACUGGAACACUAUGUCUUCUCUCUGACCUCUCGGAAUAUCUCUGUGAUUCAAUGUGUUGGCCCAUUGGAGGCCCUGGUACCCGUAUAAGUCCCUGUUUUCAGUUAUUUCGGACUGGUUAAAACCUGGAGGUUUGAGAAACCCCUGAUCUUCUCCAUACUCUUCACAAGGGCAAUGGCUGGCCAAGAUUACAAAUUAGUGACUGUUGAGGCUGGAAUCUGUACCGAGGUCAUGGGAACCCCCUGCACUGCCCCUUCUAAUCACCCUCCUGCUUGGACCCUGGGAGUAUGACAAAGAGUCAGAUAAGACAACUGAGGCUGAAGAUCACACAACCAGUAAAUGGAACAGCCAGAAAUCAAAUGUUAUAUAUUGGCCCUGAAGUGGGGAUAAAGCAGCUAAAAGAAAGUGUACUUUACAUUAAAUUUUAAGGUAUCCAAAAGCAAAUCAAUAAGCCAUACUCUAGUUACAUUAAGAUAUUUUCACAAGUGCUAGGUUAAGUAAUAUAAAAUUACCAUUUUUGUAGGUCAAAAGUAAUGGAAUAUCAUGCUUGUAUAUGGUUUGAUCUAAUAUAUAUCAUUAUCAGGUUCUACUAAUACAGAGUUUUCUGCCUUUACUUAACCAUCACAAUAAACUAAGGACUUCCAAGCUAGUAAGAAUAAUGACACAGAUAAUAAUUAGAAAAGUAUUCAUAACAUUAUCAACAAACACUUCUACCAUUUUUUGAACAACUACUUCUAUGUAUAUUUUCACUGUAGUAAAAAAUCCCUAACAAAAAAUUUAUCAUCUUAAUCAUUUUAAGUGUACAGUUCAGUAGUGCUAAGUAUAUUUACAUUACUGUGAAACAGAUCUCUAGAACAUUUUAUCUUGCAAAUUUGAAACUCUGUACUCCUUAAACAAGAAGAACCCCAUGAGAGACCAUGUGGCUGGUGGUGUCAGAUUAUAGGCUUUUUCAAGAGAAGUCAAUCUGGAAUUUUGUGUAAAAUUUUCCAAGCUUUAAUGUUAGCUUUAAAAUAGCUUUAUCGAGAUAUAAUUCAAAUGCCAUAAAUCUAUCCAUUUAAAGUGUACAUUUUAACAGUUUUUAAUCACCCCCAAAGGAGACCUUGUACCAUUAAGCAGUCACUCCUCAUUCCCCCCUCCUCCCAGAUGCUAGUAACCACCAUUCUGUUUCCUGUUGCUAUGAAUUGACUACUUAAGUGCCAGUAGCCUAUCAUUUUUGAGUAUGUAAAUCUGCAAGGUGCAUUACACACUUUAAUCCUAACAAAACUACAAAUUAAGUGCUAUUAUUCUUACUUUAUAGUCUAGAAAAUGAAAAAGUUUUAGUAGAUACAAAGUUACAUCUGAAAGUAAUUAAUUGCUACGUAUUUUCAUAUCUGUUAUAUUCAAGUUAGAUAUGAAUGAGAAUAAUUUCUUCUAUAGAAAAGAUUUUUCAUAUAUUGGAUUAUUGUUAAGUAGUAGUGGUGUUGGUGGAUUCCCAAACAUCCAAAUAAUGGA
ensembl:lncRNA novel transcript